AAUCGAUCAACAUUAUGAGGAUAUCAUACAUGAUACUAAAAUUUUUAACUAUUUGUCGACAUUUUGAUCAUGAUACCAAACAUUCAUCAUUUAGAGUAUUCAUGAAAUAAAACAUUAAAUCAAUAUUUAUAAUACAUCAUUUUAGCGACAACUCAUAGUAUUUUAAAUCAUGAUUUACAUCAUAUGUAAUACAUCACAUCAUAAUUAGAAAGCACAAGUAUUGCAUAUAUCAUUGCAAAUCAUAAAUGUUUCAUAUCAUGAUGGUAUCAAUUUGUCAAAUUAUAUCCUACCA
rnacentral:lncRNA from 1 species